rnacentral:rRNA from 1 species
UACGUAGGGUGCGAGCGUUGUCCGGAAUUAUUGGGCGUAAAGGGCUCGUAGGCGGUUUGUCGCGUCGGGAGUGAAAACCCAGGGCUUAACCCUGGGCUGGCUUCCGAUACGGGCAGACUAGAGGUAUGCAGGGGAGAACGGAAUUCCUGGUGUAGCGGUGGAAUGCGCAGAUAUCAGGAGGAACACCGGUGGCGAAGGCGGUUCUCUGGGCAUGACCUGACGCUGAGGAGCGAAAGCAUGGGGAGCGAACAGG